UACAGAGGGGGCAAGCGUUGUUCGGAUUCAUUGGGCGUAAAGGGUGCGUAGGUGGCGCGCUAAGUCAGGUGUGAAAUUUCGGAGCUUAACUCCGAAACUGCAUUUGAUACUGGCGUGCUUGAGGACUGGAGAGGAGACUGGAAUUCAUGGUGUAGCAGUGAAAUGCGUAGAGAUCAUGAGGAAGACCAGUGGCGAAGGCGGGUCUCUGGACAGUUCCUGACACUGAGGCACGAAGGCCAGGGGAGCAAACGGG
rnacentral:rRNA from 1 species